ACAUAAGAGUUUCCGGUUUGAUUUCGGCAUGUACACAGAAAAUUGAAAAACAUUUGACGUUUUUCUUAGCGAAUUACACUAUUUAGCAUGGAAGAAAUUAAAUCACAUGGGAUAUUUUCAUUCAAAGAUGAGAAGACACAACCCGAUCCGGUGUUUGAAUACCCCAGUAACAUUGCUAACAGCGGCAUACCUCUUGUGAUAGACAAUGGUGUAUAUAAAUGCAGAGCUGGAUGGGCAAGUCUAGAGCAACCACAACUUGUUUUUAAGAAUAUUACAGCAAAGCAAAAAGGGAAAAAGGAAUUGGAUGUUCAAGUUGGAAAUGAGAUAAAUAAUGUUGAGGUGGUCAAGUGGAUACUGAGGACACAAUUUGACAGAAACCUUGUCACAUUGUAUGAUGUGCAGGAACAAAUCUAUGAUUACAUAUUUGCACACCUUGGGAUUAAUACGGAGGGUUGUGUGAACCACCCGAUAGUGAUGACAGAGGCACUGUGUAACCCGGGCUACUGUCGCCAACAAAUGUCGGAACUGCUAUUUGAAUGUUAUCACGUUCCCUCCGUGGUCUAUGGUGUGGAUGCUCUGUUCAGCCUCUACAACAACCAGAAAAUUACAGAUCUGACACAUUCGCUGAUUGUUGGCUGUGGCUAUCAGAACACCUCUCUCAUUCCUGUGGUAAAUGGGAGGGUGAGCUCGGCCAAUUGUCGGAGAAUCAAUAUGGGUGGGGCACAGUUAGAUGCAUUCAUGCAGAGACUGCUGCAGUUGAAGUAUCCGGGUCACAUGGCGGCUAUCACCUUGAGCAGGGCAGAGGAACUGGUCAGAGACCACUGUUACAUGGCAGAGGACUACAUCAGUGAGCUGGAGGCGUGGACAGACAAUGAUUAUUACGAGAACAAUGUCACCAAGAUACAGCUGCCCUACAAUGCCGCUAUACUGGUUUGUGACAGGUCACUGGAAGUCAGCUGACAGCAGAGCAGUUGAAAGAGAGGCGAGAGCAGCAGAUCCGUCGCUUGAAAGAGUCUAACGCAAAGCGGCGAUUAGAAAAGCUUCAAAUGGAGGAAGAGAAAUUAAGGGAGCUCAUCAGUGUUCAGGAGCUGUUGGAUGAUGAGGAUGAUGAGGCAUUCAAUAGAGCCCUAUCAUCACUCCGAUAUGACACAGCGGAAAGUUUGCAAGUCGAAAUCACAAAGCUUACAAUGUCCAUACAAAGAAUGAAAGCCAAAAUCAAAGGAAUUGAUCUUCCUGUCGAUGAAGAGGCAAAGAAACCAGCCGUGUAUGAUCUUAUUGACAUCCCUGAUGAUCAACUGACUCCAGAUCAAAUGUCAAUUAAAAAACGACAAAGGAUGUUGAAAAAUGCAAGGGAGGGUCGACUUAGGGCACAGGCAGUGCAGAGAGAGAGGCAGCAAAAAGAAAUGGAAGAAGAGAAGAAAUUAGAGCAGAGAAGAAUAAAAGAUUUCAAUGGCUGGCUACAAUUGAUUAGAGACAAAAGAAAAAAACUGCUAGAUAUCCGCAAUGCUAAGAAACAAAGGAAAGCAGAUCUAGCCAAGAGAAGAACAUAUGCAUCUCAACAAAGGAUGAGAAAGAUUACCCAGCUUGUUUCUGGAGGAUCAAAAAAGAAAAAAGAGGACACGUUUGGUCAGAAUGAUGCCGACUGGGAAGUGUACAAAGAAAUACACCCAGAGAAUGCCGACAGUGAUUCAGAGGCAGAGGAAGACAAGCUGGAGGAACUGGAGACUCUGCUGAAGGAACAUGACCCGGAGUUCCAAAAGGAAAUGGACCAAACAAUGGGACAGACAGGAGAGUUUGACAUUGCUGAGUACUACAGACUUCACCUAGCAGUAGAGAAAAUCAGAGUUCCAGAACUGUUGUUUCAACCCUCCAUGAUAGGAAUUGAGCAAGCAGGCAUUGCUGAGACCAUGGACUUCGUUUUAAAGAAAUUUGAUGCUGAGACACAAAACAAACUUGCUCAGAAUGUGUUCAUCACCGGCGGAAAUGCCAUGUUCAGUCAUUUUAAACAGAGACUUGAGCAUGAACUUCUGGCAAUGAGGCCUUUCCAAUCACCAUUUAAUGUCUCAAUUGCAAAGAACCCAAUUCUGGAUGCCUGGUAUGGAGCCAGAAAGUUUUCUUUAUCUCCCUUGUUGACAACCAGCAGUAUCACAAGAGCGGAGUAUGAAGAGAAAGGUGGAGAAUACCUAAAGGAACACUGCGCUUCAAACCGAUAUUUCCCCACCCCUGCACCAAACAAAUAAAUCUGACUAAUAAAUCCAU
rnacentral:misc_RNA from 1 species